CUGAGUAAUUAAGCACUUUGGAUGUUGAAAGCAAUUUGGACAUCUCCUAAACCCAGAGCUGAAUUUUGCUGUUUUCUGCAAGGAAUAAGGGCGUCAGAAAUCCAGAGCAAGCUGAGGACAUGCAUGGUGGGUGAAGGCAGGAUUUCACUCCCGGGUGCUGGGAGGACCUUUCCCCUGGAGCUGACUGUGAGAAGGGAUGUCACCAUGAUCGGUUCUGGUAAUGUUCACUCUGCCUUCAGAGCAAUUCUUUCCUGUAAGGAUUAAACAGCUUUCUCGUGGAGACAUUCAUGAUACUGUGACAGAGGACUAAGAUAUCCCCCAGCCUUCCUAAAGGUGUAAUUUUUUAGUAGUACUUUAUGGAUCCAGGAGUUGGACUCGAUGGUUGUUGCGUGUCCUUUCUGAUUUGAUAUCCUAUGGUUCUAUUCUAUGAUCCUCCUAGAGAUCUUCUGAAUAGAAUCCGGUGAGUUCAGCAGUUUCGUGGAUGCCCCAAGCAUGGGUUUCCACCUGUGUGGUAUACUGAUGACAGUGAGGCUCUCCUGGGAAUCCUCUCUGGGGGCUGUGCAGAUGAGUGGGGUUCUGCAGCUCCUGGUGAGGCUCCCCCAGUGAUAUCUGCUCAUGUGGAGCAGUGGGCUGCACACCCACUCCUAACAAGGAGAGUAAAGGUGCAGCAUCCAGCACAGGUGUACUGACAUGUGAUGAAAUUAGGAAAUAUGAAAUAGGACUCUUUCAAACGGGAAGAGAAGGAGAAUGAACCCUUCCAGAAGAAGUGGGUGAUAAGGAAGGCAGGUGGGAAGGGCAGGCAGGGAACUCUUUCUAGGUAGUCCUACCUAGAGGCAGCCCUGCUUCCAGGGCAGAACCUGCCUGGAGCCUUCUGGUGCUGUUGCUUAGGUACAGCGCAGGCAUUGGUGGAACAACUAAUAAUAAUAAUAAUAAAAGUCCACUAUCAAUCAAGCUUUGUGUGCUGAGCCAGUGGGAUUUGUACCCAGAAAGGCUGGGGAAGCUGUUCUUCAUGUAGAGCUAUAUGUAACUGAGAUACUAUGGUGACACACUGGAAAAAGCAAUCUGAAGGGCCUGGUUUCCUACUGGGAUUCCCACACAGCAGAGUGCUGUAUCUGGGGGAGGACCCAGCAGCUUAUCCUGUAGCUACUCGACAUAACUUGCUGCGGAGAUGCAUCUUCUCUGUGCUAUGGGAAAUGAGCUUUUCUCUGCAGUUUAAGUCACAGCAGUAAGCAGUGGAAAAAGGACCCUGAGUGAAACCCUUUCCUGGGCUGGGUGCUUGCAGCACCGCUGGUGUAACAUUAACAUUACGUGGCUUUAUUAUGAACAUGUGCAUACUUGGAUUUAAAGACCAAUGGCUUGGCUGAGCAAACAUUUAGUGCGAAUGGGAGGAGGGUAAACAUCUAUUUUCUUUAGCCAAUACAAAGGAUGACUAAUUACAUCAGGAACAGCUGCGGUGCCCCUGGAAGGACAGAAGACCAGCUGAUUGCUGCCACGCCUCCCCAGCCAACUGGCGACACCUGAGCACUGCAAGUGGAAUUUAAUCUCCCAGAUGGAAAGCAAAUCAAUCUGCCCAUCGCUGCAGCUGAGGUAUACUUUGGCUCAACUUUAAUUUAUUCUCUGAAGCUGAAGGAGGCUGGUCAUUUCAAGGUACAGAAAUAUCACAUUUCUCCUGUUAACCAGGCUGGUAAAAGGGAAAAAAAAAAGGAAGAGUUGGGAUUUUGUAGGUUAUGCUGUGAAAUUUGUCCUUGCUUUGUAUUAGGAAACAGCAGUAUCAUCUCCCCUUGAUUCCUAUGCGUGGAAUCUGACAAGGAAGAAGCAUUUAUGAGCUGGGUGCCAGUGAUAAUGGUUAAACAUGAGUUGUGGAGGCAUUAAGUGGGAUUCUAUGGAGGAAUGAACUAAAUCUCUGAAGAACUCAACACAAAAAGGAAUUGGUGGCAAUUUUCAAGCACUUUAGCCAGUGUGCGAUAGUCUGGCUCCCAUUGGGUUUCACACCAGGGAUAUAAAUACAAUCUUUCUACUUACCUGAGCUCUUCAGACCUAUCAAUUAUGCCGCUCCCUCUGAGUUGCCGUUACAACUGUAGGUAUUACCGUCCUCUGCAAAACCACUGCAGAGCAGAGUAUGUGACUAGUUAGCAUGGGCUGCAGACCUGAUCUUUGAGUGGCCAGGCAACUGCAGCUCCUGUCAGUGCUGUUUUUCAGGCUAGAAACCCAAUUUUAGCUGGGAUCAAGGGGAAACAAGCUCACAAAAACUUGAGGUUAACAAACAUAGGGAAAUUAGAGCCUGAUUUUUCUGCAGACUUCUGCUUGUUUGGCUAACAAGGAAUGCUCUCACCUUGUCAGCCUGUAUGUGGUACCUACAUUCCAUCUGUUUUUUUACCUUCUGGUGUACUUUCUCUGAAUUCUUAAUUUCUCGGAUUCAUUGGAUGUAUAUACUUUGGCUUUGGAGAGUUCACAGACCAAAGAGUUCCUGAUUCCUUUUUACUGGAAAAUAAGCAUUUCUAAGAGUGCUUUGCUCAUGCCUCAUGAGUCAGAUUCCAGCCUCCUUGCACUUGUACAAAUACUUGGCUGU